ACGAUUUCUGAAAACCACUCCGGAAGUUACCCACCCCACGAAUAUUGUAUUUAUAGUUGAUGAAAAAAUGACUCAACCCAAGGGUUCCGAGAGGGCGAUAAACGUCCAUGCCACGCCAAAAAGAAGAGGAAAAAGGAAGCAUGAGGAAAGUCCAAGGAAAUCCCAUCUGAAAAAUCAUGCGGCGUCGCCUGUGACCCCGCGGAAAGGCCAAUCAAACAUGGUAUAUUGAUUUUUAUGUUCUUUUAAUACAUUAAGUGACGGGUAUGUAUUGAAAAAUCAUUGCGUGAUAUGUAUUGAAAACGUAUUGAAGAUCUGUGACCUUUAAAUCUGUUCAAUUCAUUUCGUGAUUGGAAUGGGGUAGGGUUUACAGUUUUGAACGCAUAAUGUUUUGAUCAUUGGAAUUUUGUUUUCGAUGUUACGAAUAAUCUAUUGUCUAAUCACGAAUACUCAAAAGACUUUAAAUGUGACUGAAGUUUGUUGGGAAUGUGUGACCUAAAUGAAAAGACUUUAUAUGCCUGUGAGCUAACUAUUAACAUGGUUGAUGAUGUGUUUUAGCCAUACGAUGUCCUUGUGUGACCAUUUCACCUAUAUGUGACUAAGUGGUCUCAAUGCAAAGACUUACACAUGUACAUGUCCUGAUUGCAUGGCUAAAUGUGACCAUUAAAUCCAUAUGUGACACAAUUUUUUUGUGAACAUAUGACCAUACUAGUUGAACGUGACCUUAAACUUGAAGAGUCAUUAUUUCAUUCUCUCCAUUUGAAUUAUAAUACAAGUAUUUAACAAUUUUAUCAUUAUUAAUGCUUCAUGUAGGUUUGACAAUUCAAAAUACCAGAAAAAAGUUGGUUUCCUGGCAAUAUUACAACCUCCGUGUACAAGACUGUUCUCACCACCGUACAAUCGAAGUUAAGCCUACAAGGGGGAAGGGCUUGUUAUAGAUUGAAAAUUGCAGCCUACGAGGGAAAGGGCUUAUAAUAGAUUGAAAUUUGGAUUUAGAGUUGUGAGUGAAGACAAGAAUUUACUUUGUAAAUGUUAUGAACAUUGCAUGUGUCUGGUCAAUAGAAGUUCUUGUAACGAAUAGUAACUCGUAAGCUUUGAUUUGCAAUAAAGGAUUUUAACGUGUUGAAGUUCA
rnacentral:lncRNA from 1 species